CUUUCAGCCCUCACCUCCCAGGAAUGGGGAGGGGGCAUCCUACCCCAUAUCUGAGGUGCGACUGCGGGACGUAGAGCGGACUGGGCCUUUCCCGCUGGCCCGUGGCCUCAAUCAGGGAGUCUUCCUCUGUCACCCAGGCUGGAAUGCUGUGGCACCUUGAAGACUCACUACAGCCUCAACUUUCUGGCCUCCAGCAAUCCUCCAAACACAUCCUCCAAAGUAGCUGUUAUUACAAGUGCGCACUACCACACCGGGAUAGUUUUUGGUUAUUGUUUGGAUGGCUCUUUUAUUAAUAUUACUAUUUUUUGCAGAGAUGGGGUUCCACCAUAUUGCUCACGCUGGCCUAGAACUGCCGAGCUCAAAGAAUCCACCUACCGUGACGUCCCAAAGUUGUGGAAUUGCAGUGCUUCACUGGCCCCGGCCUUAUUUCCAAAAUGAA
rnacentral:antisense_RNA from 1 species